AGUAAGGAAUAUUGGUCAAUGGGCGCAAGCCUGAACCAGCCAUGCCGCGUGCAGGAUGAAGGCCCUCAGGGUUGUAAACUGCUUUUCUCAGGGAAGAAACCCUCGUUUUCUAACGAGGCUGACGGUACCUGAGGAAUAAGCACCGGCUAACUCCGUGCCAGCAGCCGCGGUAAUACGGAGGGUGCGAGCGUUAUCCGGAUUCACUGGGUUUAAAGGGUGUGUAGGCGGGCAGGUAAGUCAGCGGUGAAAGCCCCGAGCUUAACUUGGGAAUUGCCGUUGAUACUAUCUGUCUUGAAUGUUGUGGAGGCGAGCGGAAUAUGGCAUGUAGCGGUGAAAUGCUUAGAUAUGCCAUAGAACACCGAUUGCGAAGGCAGCUCGCUACGCAACCAUUGACGCUGAGGCACGAAAGCGUGGGGAGCAAA
rnacentral:rRNA from 1 species